rnacentral:rRNA from 1 species
UAGGGAAUCUUCCGCAAUGGGCGAAAGCCUGACGGAGCGACGCCGCGUGAGCGAGGAAGGCCUUCGGGUCGUAAAGCUCUGUUGUCAGGGAAGAAGGCGCGCCGUUCGAACAGGGCGGCGCGGUGACGGUACCUGACGAGGAAGCCCCGGCUAACUACGUGCCAGCAGCCGCGGUAAAACGUAGGGGGCGAGCGUUGUCCGGAAUUACUGGGCGUAAAGGGCGUGUAGGCGGCCUGUUAAGUCAGGGGUGAAAGACCGGGGCUCAACCCCGGGGGUGCCUCUGAAACUGGCGGGCUUGAGUGCUCUAGAGGGCAGUGGAAUUCCCGGUGUAGCAGUGAAAUGCGUAGAGAUCGGGAGGAACACCAGUGGCGAAGGCGGCUGCCUGGGGAGUCACUGACGCUGAGGCGCGAAAGCUAGGGGAGCAAACAGG